rnacentral:ncRNA from 1 species
AUAAAGUUUAAUUUUAGCUUGAAGAUUUAUUUUAUUUUUUAUUUACAUGUAAAUUUUUGUGUGAAAAAAAUAUUAAUUUAGAAAAUUAUUUUUUAAAAAAUUAUUCGCAGUAUGAAAUUUUAUAGAUUUAAGAAAUUAAGAAUUAUAAAUAAAUUAUAAUAUUGACAAAAUUUGUGCCAGCAGUUGCGGUUAUACAAAAAAUAUAAAUAAAUUAUAUUGAAUAAUAAUAAAAUUGAUUAAUUUUAAUUAAAGUAAAAUUUAUAGGGUGAAAUCUAAAAUUUUAAAUAGUUAUUAAAAAAGAUAUUGAAAUUAUGAAAUUUAUGUAAUAAACUAGGAUUAGAUACCCUAUUAUUAUAAGUGUAAAUAUAUUCAAAGUAGUAUUAGUUAUGAUCUUGAAAUUUAAAAAUUUUGGCGGUAUUUUAGUCUAUUCAGAGGAACCUGUUCUGUAAUUGAUAGUCCACGAAAAACUAAACUUUAUUUAUAUAAGCUUAUAUAUCGUCGUUAUUAAAUAUUUUAUAAGAAUUAUAAUAUUUAAGAUUUUAAAUUAAAAAGUAUAUCAGAUCAAGGUGUAGUUUAUAGUAAAGUAGAAAUGGGUUACAAUAAAUUUAUUUUUAUGAAUUUGUGUAUGAAAAUAUAUGAUGAAGGUGGAUUUGAUAGUAAUAAAUUUUAUAUUUGAAUUUAUGAUUAAAGCUCUAAAAUGUGUACAUAUCGCCCGUCACUCUUAUUAUAAAAUAAGAUAAGUCGUAACAAAGUAGAUGUACUGGAAAGUGUAUCUAGAAAGA